rnacentral:tRNA from 1 species
GGGGAUGUAGCUUAGUGGUACAGUGUUUGCCUACCCUGUGCAAAUCUCUGGGUUCAAUCCCUAGCACCACAA